CGGUUUGAGAUUGACAAACUCGAUCGGGUUGUGAUCGGUUCGGGUCAAACCUGACCCGAUCCGAAUACCCGAUCGGGUUCUCAAAAAAAAAAAAAAAACCUAAGCUAAAAGCCUAACACUACACACAGCACACACCACACGCACACAACCACACACACAGUCACAUACGCUGCUCGGCUGCUGCACAACACACACAGCCAUUCACUCAAAGGUGUUGCCUUGCAAGUGACCAAUCAUCCUCAUUAAAUUUCAAAAUAUUCUCAUUAGAAAAAGCGCCAGUUGAAUUGUAUACAAAGAUGCAGAUGCUGAGAUGACUAUUGUUGCCAAUCCCAUAUGGCGGGCUGAGUUGAAACUUGAAAGCAACUCUAAGAAAGCAAUUGUAGAGAUAAAGACGAACAAAACCCUUUUUGCCAAAAGGAAUAUCAUUUUAUUUAUGGGGAAAAUUACAAUUUUGCUAUGACAGUAUAAUUAAAAAAAAAAAAAAAACCCCAACUCUUACAACUUUACAAAUCCUCACCACCCAGAACAUUUUUUUUUUCCACAACUAAGUUUCACUCAGGCAUUCAAUGGAAGCUUAAUUGUUUAUGUUAUAAAGGUGGCCAAGGAAAAAGAACUACAAAAAAGUGAAUUGCCUGCCCGACUUUUUAGUGGCUGCCUCUGUACCUUUUUCAUCUUUAAUCAGUGGGUUUCUGUCACACACACACAACUUGUCACAAGCUGCACAACCACACAUACACACGCUGCACACACCACACACCACACACACGCACACAGCCACACACACAGUCACCGACCCGAAUUGACCCGAUUUCAACCGACCCG
rnacentral:lncRNA from 1 species